CACUGACAAUCAAGGCAUGGCAUAUCUGUAUAGGUUCUUAUUUCUUUAAAAUCCCUCAUGUAACUGACUUUUGUUUCUCCAAUACACUUACAGUCAACUUACAUGCUCACCAUGAUUAGUUAUAUGCAACUUAUGUUUUAUUGGGAGUCUGAAUUUUCUCUUGCUACUUUCAACUUAUGUUUGAUCAAUUUCCAUGCUCAUGGUGAUUAUUUAAAUGCAACUGUUGCUGAUCUAUAAUUGGCAUGGGAACAUUUAAAAAAGUGCUUGUAGUUUGCGCAACUCUAUCGCUUAAGAAUUCUUGAUUGCCUGUACUGCAAGAGUUUAAAAUGCAUAGACAAUGUUGCAACCAUAGGACAUACAAACAGACAUGCUGGGCUUCUGUACACAAUUCCACUGUGUCAAUAUUUUCUGUAACUGGCUUCAAGUAACUUGCUUCUGUACAUGCUGGGUUUUGGUUUUUCGUAUGGCUGCCACUUGUAGACUAACUGUAUCGAUAUUGCUGGAAAAGAUGUUGAUUGAAAGGGUUGGAACUGUCACCACCUCCUUGCCUUGUUUAGGGUCCUCCUAGAGGGGACACCACAUGGGUGACUUCGUUUCUCAGGAAGAACUUGAGAAGUUCAUGACACGUUGUACUGAUCCUGCAGCACAAAAGGCUACCAAAGAAGCUGCAGAGAAGGCUAAGAUUCAGGCCGACAAUAUUGGACACGCACUUCUGUCUAAGAUGGGCUGGAGGGAAGGUGGACUGAAAUUCAGGUCGGGAAGAACCAUGAGUCAAUUAUUGCAAGUUUCAUAUCAAGAAUAACGAGAAACCAGGGAGGUGCUGCUGCUUCUGCAGAUCGUCGGCAGGUAGGAUCAAGGAGAGCGGCGACCAGCGAGGUGAUGUUGGGUGGAGGCCAGCGCGCUACUCUACUGAGGACCGUCGGAUGGCGAUCUUAUGCUUGGUGCGGCGGCGAGUUGCUGCUGGCGGGGUGGCGAGGAAGAAGCAGGGAGCAGCUGGGUGAGAUAUUGGUGACCCUGAGAAGAAGGGAAUGUACCACAAUUGCUAUCGUUAUUAUUAAUUUGUGGAAUUCAAUGUAAUUUUAACAGCCGAGGUACUAGGCCAUGUUCUAAAUGUUGUUUCCGGACAAUGUUCCAAAUGUUGGUUCCAGACCUGUUGGUUGGUUGCAGCACCAUAGCACCAUGAUAACUGCAUAUAUUGAUUCAAAAUUUGGGUUCCAAAUUA